rnacentral:rRNA from 1 species
CCUACGGGGGGCAGCAGUGAGGAAUAUUGGUCAAUGGGCGAGAGCCUGAACCAGCCAAGUCGCGUGAAGGAUGACGGCCCUACGGGUUGUAAACUUCUUUUGUCAGGGAGCAAUUGAGUCCACGUGUGGGCUUAGCGAGAGUACCUGAAGAAAAAGCAUCGGCUAACUCCGUGCCAGCAGCCGCGGUAAUACGGAGAAUGCGAGCGUUAUCCGGAUUUAUUGGGUUUAAAGGGUGCGUAGGCGGAAUUUCAAGUCAGCGGGAAAACUUCGGGGCUCAACCCCGUCGUGCCGUUGAAACUGAUGUUCUCGAGUUGGAGAGAAGUAUGCGGAAUGCGCGGUGUAGCGGUGAAAUGCAUAGAUAUCGCGCAGAACUCCGAUUGCGAAGGCAGCAUGCCGGCUCCACACUGACGCUGAGGCACGAAAGCGUGGGUAUCGAACAGGAUUAGAUACCCCGGUAGUC